rnacentral:lncRNA from 1 species
UGAGCCGACAUAGAGGAAGCGGCGAGGGCGGCGGCGGCCGCGGAGGAGGAGGUCGCGGCUGCAGACGCUGCUGGAGGAGCUGGCCGCCGCUGCGUGCUCCGCUGGAGGAGCCCGGGCCCGGGCGGGAGUCCGAGCCGGAGUCGGGGCCGCAGCCCGAGAGCGAGCCGAGGCCGGUGCUGCCCGUGCCGCCGCCGCUGUCCUGGCGGGAGCCCUCGCCCGGUUUCAAGAGUGCGGGGAGCUGGGAGAGUCGAGCAGGAUCGGGACGAAGCUGCCGGCGAGGAUCAGGGCGCUCGGGUGUCUGGGGGCCAGGUCCAGGGCCGGACGCAGCCAGCCAUUCAGGAAGGCAGCGCUGGAGAGCGGGAGGCAGCCGGCGAGGAAGAUCACACACUUUGCUCUUUUUGUUGUGCGGGUGGCGCCGGGUUCUCUCUGCCUUCUUCUUUCGGGAGGUGACGGAAGGGGGAGAAAAAUACGAGAUAAUUCACGCCAGCGACGAAUUCACAGCGAAAUAGGAAAAAAAUAAAAAUCAGAAGAAAAUGCUUGAGAAAAUAAGGAAAAAGAGAAAGCGAGAGAGACAUCCAAAGCAGAUUGCCAGAAUUUGCUGCUUCCCACCUUUCCUCAAGACUUGUAGAAGUAA